rnacentral:rRNA from 1 species
GAUGAACGCUGGCGGCGUGCCUAAUACAUGCAAGUCGAGCGAAUGGAUUGAGAGCUUGCUCUUAUGAAGUUAGCGGCGGACGGGUGAGUAACACGUGGGUAACCUGCCCAUAAGACUGGGAUAACUCCGGGAAACCGGGGCUAAUACCGGAUAACAUUUUGAACCGCAUGGUUCGAAAUUGAAAGGCGGCUUCGGCUGUCACUUAUGGAUGGACCCGCGUCGCAUUAGCUAGUUGGUGAGGUAACGGCUCACCAAGGCAACGAUGCGUAGCCGACCUGAGAGGGUGCUCGGACACACUGGGACUAAGACACGGCCCAGACUCCUACGGGAGGCAGCAGUAGGGAAUCUUCCGCAAUGGACGAAAGUCUGACGGAGCAACGCCGCGUGAGUGAUGAAGGCUUUCGGGUCGUAAAACUCUGUUGUUAGGGAAGAACAAGUGCUAGUUGAAUAAGCUGGCACCUUGACGGUACCUAACCAGAAAGCCACGGCUAACUACGUGCCAGCCGCCGCAGUAA